rnacentral:lncRNA from 1 species
UCAGGCUUUAAAAGAUUGAUCAUUUUACUUGAUGAUUUUUAGGACUAGUUUUUGCUCGAAAGUACGAAGUAUUUGCAAGGAUGUUUGCAUGGAGCAAGGCUUUGAGUGCAUACUUGGGGCCAAGGCUUUGAGGUGUUUGCGCAGAACAAGACUUAGAUGUGCUUGCUCAUGGGCACAGCUUUGAGUGCUUGCUCAAAGGGAAAGGCUUUGAAGUACUUGUUCAUGGACAAGGCUUUGAAUGCUUGCUCGUGGACAAGGCUUUAAGGUGUUUGUGCGGAGUAAGAUUUAAAGGUGCUUGCUCGUGGGCAAGAUUUAAAGGUGCUUGUGUGGUACAAGGCUCAAGUGGUUGCUCGAAGCAAGACUUAAAAGUGCUUGAACAGAGCAAGGUUCAUGGUGCUUGCGUUGGGCAAGUUUGAGGUGCUUGCUCGAGGAAAGGUUUGUGGGGCUUGUAUAGGACAAGGUUUAGAGAUGCUUGUGUGAGACAAAACUUAAGUACUUAAUCGAGACAAGGUUUAGAAGUGCUUACGUGGGGCAUUGUUGUGCUCGGGGCAAGGCUUAUGGUGC